UACGUAGGUGGCGAGCGUUGUCCGGAUUUACUGGGCGUAAAGAGCGCGCAGGCGGUCGUAUAAGUCGCGUGUGAAAGCCCCCGGCUCAACUGGGGAGGGUCACGCGAUACUGUUCGACUCGAAGGCAGGAGAGGGAAGUGGAAUUCCCGGUGUAGUGGUGAAAUGCGUAGAUAUCGGGAGGAACACCAGUGGCGAAGGCGACUUCCUGGCCUGUUCUUGACGCUGAGGCGCGAAAGCUAGGGUAGCAAACAGG
rnacentral:rRNA from 1 species